rnacentral:rRNA from 1 species
AUUGAACGCUGGCGGCAUGCCUUACACAUGCAAGUCGAACGGUAACGGGCCUUCGGGUGCCGACGAGUGGCGAACGGGUGAGUAAUACAUCGGAACGUGCCCGAUCGUGGGGGAUAACGAGGCGAAAGCUUUGCUAAUACCGCAUACGAUCUACGGAUGAAAGCAGGGGACCGCAAGGCCUUGCGCGGACGGAGCGGCCGAUGGCAGAUUAGGUAGUUGGUGGGAUAAAAGCUUACCAAGCCGACGAUCUGUAGCUGGUCUGAGAGGAUGAUCAGCCACACUGGGACUGAGACACGGCCCAGACUCCUACGGGAGGCAGCAGUGGGGAAUUUUGGACAAUGGGCGCAAGCCUGAUCCAGCCAUGCCGCGUGCAGGAUGAAGGCCUUCGGGUUGUAAACUGCUUUUGUACGGAACGAAAAGCCUUCUUUUAAUACAGGAGGGUCAUGACGGUACCGUAAGAAUAAGCACAGGCUAACUACGUG